rnacentral:rRNA from 1 species
GAGUUUGAUUCUGGCUCAGGACGAACGCUGGCGGCGUGCCUAAUACAUGCAAGUCGAGCGGAGUUGAAUAAGUGCUUGCACUAAUUCAACUUAGCGGCGAACGGGUGAGUAACACGUAAAGAACCUGCCUCAUAGACUGGGACAACUACUGGAAACGGUAGCUAAUACCGGAUAACAUAUUUUACCGCAUGGGAAAAUAUUGAAAGUCGGUCAUGCUGACACUAUGAGAUGGCUUUGCGGUGCAUUAGCUAGUUGGUAGGGUAAAGGCCUACCAAGGCGACGAUGCAUAGCCGACCUGAGAGGGUGAUCGGCCACACUGGGACUGAGACACGGCCCAGACUCCUACGGGAGGCAGCAGUAGGGAAUCUUCCGCAAUGGACGAAAGUCUGACGGAGCAACGCCGCGUGAGUGAAGAAGGAUUUCGGUUCGUAAAACUCUGUUGUUAGGGAAGAAUGAUUGUAUAGUAACUAUAUACAGUAGAGACGNACC